UAAUAAAGUCAAAAAGGACAGAAAAGUCAAGAAAGAAGGGUUAAAUUUAGAAAGUCUGAUCCGGUAGUAAACUUAACUGGGAUGGGAUUGUCUGGUUAGAAAGCAGUGGAGCGAGCCCUUCUCUCUUUCCUCAAGGGAGAGUCAGAGAGGCUCGUCACCUCCAAGUCCUCCUUCAUCUCUCUCUCUAUCUUCCCUUCGAUCCUUUCAGAUCUUCAUCGUUUGUAAAGCUUCAGACUUUUGACUUCCAUCAUUAAGAUUGCUCUUGACCCCAAGAUUUUUGAGUUAACAUCUGCUUAAUUCUGCACAAUCUCAGAAUAAUCUUGUUUUGCUUGAUCCUGUAUCCCUUUUUGACGGAUGUGGAUUAAGGAAAGAGGGUUUCCCUGAUGUCAUGAGGGGAGGAUGUUAACAACGUUAAUGAAACUUCUGAGUGGGCAAGUCAACAAUCUUCUCGAGGAUCAGAGCCAAGUUGAGUCUGCCCCUCUGGUCCUUACGGAACUUUUAUUGGCAUCUAUGACGGUCACGGCGGCCCUGAGACCUCACGCUUUGUCAAUGAUCAUCUCUUUCAGCAUCUAAAGAGAUUUGCAGCAGAGGAAGCCUCUAUGUCGAUGGAUGUAAUCAGAAAAACAUUCGAAGCGACAGAAGAAGGGUUUCUCGGGGGUUGAGGAACCAAGAAGCUGUUGGCAUUGUUCAGAACCACCCACGAAACGUGCGGUUACACUCAAUUGUUUUCAAAGUUUCAGUUAAGCAAAACCAGAUACUGAUUGUGUCCUUUGUGCAUGGAAUUGCACGUAGACUUGUGAAGAUGUUGCUGCGAGCAGCGGCAAAGAAGAGAGAGAUGAGAUACUCUGAUCUGAAGAAGAUAGAGAGGGCGUGAGGAGGCAUUUUCACGAUGAUAUCACUGUGGUUAUCACUGCGGUAUGACUUUCCCCAAGAAACUCUAAAAGCUACUAUAUCCCACUUUUUUUUAGAUUCCAUCUUUUGUAGUUAUUUAAAAAGAUCACAAUCUUUGUUGGUCUAAGAAUUUGUAUAAUUUUUAACGUGGAAGCCACACAAUACUUACGUUUGCAACCCAUUCCAGUAAUUAUUUAUUUUUUAUUUGUUCAACGAGACUCUGUGCAAUCUUUGUAAUUGUUGUUGAUGAAUGAAUGUAAUAGCCUUUCUUUUGUUU